GAUGAACGCUGGCGGCGUGCCUAACACAUGCAAGUCGAGCGGCAGCGAGGGGUGCUUGCACCCUGUCGGCGAGCGGCGGACGGCUGAGUAACGCGUGGGAACGUGCCCCAAAGUGAGGAAUAACUGCCCGAAAGGGUAGCUAAUACCGCAUAUUAUCUUCGGAUCAAAGGAUUUAUCCGCUUUGGGAGCGGCUCGCGUCGGAUUAGGUAGUUGGUGAGGUAAUGGCUCACCAAGCCGACGAUCCGUAGCUGGUCUGAGAGGAUGACCAGCCAGACUGGAACUGAGACACGGUCCAGACUCCUACGGGAGGCAGCAGGGAGGAAUCUUCCACAAUGGGCGAAAGCCUGAUGGAGCAACGCCGCGUGCAGGACGAAGGCCUUCGGGUUGUAACUGCUUUUAUAAGUGAGGAAUAUGACGGUAACUUAUGAAUAAGGAUCGGCUAACUACGUG
rnacentral:rRNA from 1 species